rnacentral:rRNA from 1 species
AUUGAACGCUGGCGGCAUGCCUUACACAUGCAAGUCGAACGGCAGCACGGGAGCAAUCCUGGUGGCGAGUGGCGAACGGGUGAGUAAAGUAUCGGAACGUGCCCAGUCGUGGGGGAUAACGUAGCGAAAGUUACGCUAAUACCGCAUACGAGCUAUGGAUGAAAGCGGGGGAUCGCAAGCCCUCGCGCGAUUGGAGCGGCCGAUAUCAGAUUAGGUAGUUGGUGGGGUAAAGGCUCACCAAGCCGACGAUCUGUAGCUGGUCUGAGAGGACGACCAGCCACACUUGGACUGAGACACGGCCCAGACUCCUACGGGAGGCAGCAGUGGGGAAUUUUGGACAAUGGGCGAAAGCCUGAUCCAGCCAUGCCGCGUGCAGGAUGAAGGCCUUCGGGUUGUAAACUGCUUUUGUACGGAACGAAAGGGUUUGGGCUAAUAAGCUGAGCUCAUGACGGUACCGUAAGAAUAAGCACCGGCUAACUACGUGCCAGCCGCCGCCGUAA